GGGUGGUUAGCUCAGUCGGUUAGAGCGUGGUGCUGAUAACACCAAGGCUGCAGGUUCGAUCCCCGUUCGGCCCC
rnacentral:tRNA from 1 species